AACGAACGCUGGCGGCAUGCCUAACACAUGCAAGUCGAACGAGACCUUCGGGUCUAGUGGCGCACGGGUGCGUAACGCGUGGGAACCUGCCCUUAGGUUCGGAAUAACUCCCCGAAAGGGGUGCUAAUACCGGAUAAUGUCUUCGGACCAAAGAUUUAUCGCCUUUGGAUGGGCCCGCGUUGGAUUAGCUGGUUGGUAGGGUAAAAGCCUACCAAGGCGACGAUCCAUAGCUGGUCUGAGAGGAUGAUCAGCCACACUGGGACUGAGACACGGCCCAGACUCCUACGGGAGGCAGCAGUGGGGAAUAUUGGACAAUGGGCGAAAGCCUGAUCCAGCAAUGCCGCGUGAGUGAUGAAGGCCUUAGUGUUGUAAAGCUCUUUUACCCGGGAUGAUAAUGACAGUACCGGGAGAAUAAGCACCGGCUAACUCCGUG
rnacentral:rRNA from 1 species